CAGCUUGCCUUUGUUUGAUUCCAGCUGCAGCAUAUCGUGAGUGAUGAGAUCUGUGUGGAGGUGACUGACCUUUACCUGGCAGAAAAUAAUAAUGGGGCCACCGGAGGCCAGCUGAACACACAGAACUCAAGGAGCCUCCUGGAAUCAACGUAUCAGCGGAAAGCUGAGCAGUUAAUGUCAGGCCUGCUCCCUCUCCGCCUCCCGCCAGAAGUAAAAGCUUCCUGGGACUGUUUGCACCAGAGUCUGCACACCCAUCAUCCCAGACCUCGGCACUCCUGGCCCCAAAGCCUCUAGCCCGCUGGACAUCUUCAUCUCCAGCUAUGCCGUGGCUCUCCUCAUCCUGGGCCUCCUGCUCGUCAGAGUUGCCCUGAUCCUGGUGAGUGUCUGGCUGGGCCCGGGCUGCUUCUUGAGGGGCAGGCUCAACCAUUGAUGCCUUGAGCCUUUGAGCCAAGCUGAGGGGCGAGCAGGUCCCUUUCCACCCCUGACUCCCCCAUCCAAGCCCAGCAUGUCCUCAUCCUCCAGCUGGGGCCACGGGGUUUAAGGCCAGGGCGGUGGGCCUGAUCCCAGUGUCCCCGCCUUUCUUGUCAAGGUGCUAAGCUUGAGGGCAUGCCUUGGGUGCUGACAUUCCCAGGAACUCAGAGCCAGAGAGAGCCAGGCACCAGCCCGAAGUCACACAGCCAGGGGCUUCUUCCCUCCUGGACCCCCAAUGACUGGACUUGCAGGGCUGGGAAAGAGGCGGAGUGGGGGAAAGCAAUGAAUUGUCAACCCACGCAGGGAGCCCCACUCCCAUUCCCAAGGUGCAUAAGGUCAAGGAACACCCGUUU